AGUGAACGCUGGCGGUAGGCCUAACACAUGCAAGUCGAACGGCAGCACAGUAAGAGCUUGCUCUUACGGGUGGCGAGUGGCGGACGGGUGAGGAAUACAUCGGAAUCUACUUUUUCGUGGGGGAUAACGUAGGGAAACUUACGCUAAUACCGCAUACGACCUACGGGUGAAAGCAGGGGAUCUUCGGACCUUGUGCGAUUGAAUGAGCCGAUGUCGGAUUAGCUAGUUGGCGGGGUAAAGGCCCACCAAGGCGACGAUCCGUAGCUGGUCUGAGAGGAUGGUCGGCGACACUGGAACUGGGACAGGGUCCAGACUCCUACGGGAGGCAGCAGUGGGGAAUAUUGGACAAAGGGCGCAAGCCUGAUCCAGCCAUACCGCGUGGGUGAAGAAGGCCUUCGGGUUGUAAAGCCCUUUUGUUGGGAAAGAAAAGCAGCAGGUUAAUACCCCGCUGUUCUGACGGUACCCAAAGAAUAAGCACCGGCUAACUUCGUG
rnacentral:rRNA from 1 species